AAUCAACUGUGAGUUACAGGAAAAGUAGGUAACACAGGCCAAUAGAUUUUAUUGGCCUCCACACUACAAAAACUAGAAAGUGCUCAGCGCGAGGGACACCAAAAUGAAGACAGAAAGCCGUGA
rnacentral:lncRNA from 1 species